AGAGCGAACGCUGGCGGCGUGCUUAACACAUGCAAGUCGAACGAGGUCUGUAGCAAUACAGAUACUCGUGGCGAACGGGUGCGUAACACGUGGAUAACCUUCCUUCAGGUGGGGAAUAACCCAGUGAAAAUUGGGCUAAUACCGCAUAACAUGACGAUGCCACAUGGUGUUGUCUUCAAAGGCGCAAGUCGCCAGAAGAGGGAUCCGCGGCCGAUUAGCUAGUUGGCGAGGUAAUGGCUCACCAAGGCAAUGAUCGGUAGCCGGACUGAGAGGUUGGCCGGCCACACUGGAACUGAGACACGGUCCAGACUCCUACGGGAGGCAGCAGUGGGGAAUCUUGCACAAUGGACGAAAGUCUGAUGCAGCAACGCCGCGUGGGGAUGAAGCUUUUCGGAGUGUAAACCCCUUUCGACCCGGAAGAAAGCCCGCAAGGGUUUGACGGUACGGGUAUAAGAAGCCCGGCUAACUACGUGCCAGCAGCCGCGGU
rnacentral:rRNA from 1 species